UACGUAGGGUGCGAGCGUUGUCCGGAAUUAUUGGGCGUAAAGAGCUCGUAGGCGGUGUGUCGCGUCGGCCGUGAAAACCUGGGGCUCAACUCUGGGCGUGCGGUCGAUACGGGCAUCACUGGAGUUCGGCAGGGGAGACUGGAAUUCCUGGUGUAGCGGUGAAAUGCGCAGAUAUCAGGAGGAACACCGGUGGCGAAGGCGGGUCUCUGGGCCGAUACUGUCGCUGAGGAGCGAAAGCAUGGGUAGCGAACAGG
rnacentral:rRNA from 1 species